ACCACCUUUAAUCCCUUCCUCUCUUAAACUCUCCCUAGCUUCUCCGAAACCAUACCCAUAUCCUACCUUAUUCUACCACGUUUCCAAUGGAAUCCAUGGCAUUCCAGGCCAUGGAUGACCUGUACUCACCCUUUCUCACCAUUAGACCUAAGUUGUUCAGUGAUUUGAAGCCCAACUCUGAUGGCUCUCUUGAAAUCUUUCUCAGAUCUGUAGAUCUAUGGCCUCUUCCGCCAUUAUUCCGCCGUGUUCAAGCAAUAUGAGUCUUUUCGACUUAGGAUCCGACUUUCCUCAAGAUAUUCCUUAUUUCUAGGAUUUUUUCUACAACUCUAUGCCGUCUGAGGUUCUGUACUAGCUUAUUUCUUUUAUAUCUAUGACAUGCUUGAGCGUUACUUGACGUUUUAAAGUUUUCCCCCAAUUUUCCUUUUCAAAAUCAUUCAAAUUCG
rnacentral:lncRNA from 1 species